GCAUAUCAAUAAGCGGAAGGAAAAAAGAAAAGCCAACAGGGAUUUGCCUCAGUAACGGCGAGUGAAAGCGGCAACAGCUCAAAUUUGAAAUCUGGCUCCUUCGGGGCCCGAAGUUGUAAUUUGCAGAGGAUGCCUCGGGGUGCGGGUUUCCUUCCGAGUUCCCUGGAAACGGGACGCCAUAGAGGGUGAGAGCCCCCGUCAGGUCGGAACCCUAGCCCGUGUGAGGCUCCCCUCGACGAGUCGAGUAGUUUGGGAAUGCUGCUCUAAUGGGAGGUAUACUCCCUUCCCAAAGCUAAAUACCGGCUGGAGACCGAUAGCGCACAAGUAGAGUGAUCGAAAGAUGAAAAGCACUUUGAAAAGAGAGUCAAACAGCACGUGAAAUUGUUGAAAGGGAAGCGCUCGCUACCAGACUUGGGUCCGCGGCUCACCCGGUGCUCUGCACCGGUGCACUCCGCGGCCCCAGGCCAGCAUCAGCUCUCCGUCAGGUUCAAAGGCUGCGGGAAUGUGGCUCCCCCUCGGGGGAGUGUUAUAGCCCGUAGUGUCAUGCCUCUCGGGGGGCUGAGGUUCGCGCAUCUGCAAGGAUGCUGGCGUAAUGGUAGCUAGUGACCCGUCUUGAAACACGGACCAAGGAGUCAACCUUAUGUGCGAGUGCCCGGGCGUAAAACCCCAGCGCGGAAUGAAAGUGAACGUAGGUAGGAGCUUCGGCGCACUACCGACCGAUCCUGAUGUCCUCGGACGGAUUUGAGUAAGAGCAUAUAGGGUUGGACCCGAAAGAAGAUGAACUAUGCGUGUGUAGGGUGAAGCCAGAGGAAACUCUGGUGGAGGCUCGCAGCGGUUUCUGACGUGCAAAUCGAUCGUCAAACAUGCGCAUGGGGGGCGAAGACUAAUCGAAUCUUCUAGUAGCUGGGUUCGCGAG
rnacentral:rRNA from 1 species